AUACGAAGGUCCCAAGCGUUAUUCGGAAUCACUGGGCGUAAAGAGUACGUAGGCGGUUUGGUAAGUCAGGUGUGAAAUCCCGAAGCUCAACUUCGGAACUGCAUCCGAUACUGCCAGACUUGAGUAAUGGAGAGGCAGGUGGAAUUCUCGGUGUAGCAGUGAAAUGCGUGGAUAUCGAGAGGAAGACCAAUGGCGAAGGCAGCCUGCUGGACAUUUACUGACGCUGAGGUACGAAGGCUAGGGGAGCGAAAGGGAUUAGAAACCCGGGUAGUCC
rnacentral:rRNA from 1 species